rnacentral:rRNA from 1 species
GACGUAGGGUGCGAGCGUUGUCCGGAUUUAUUGGGCGUAAAGAGCUCGUAGGCGGCUUGUCGCGUCGGAUGUGAAAGCCCGGGGCUUAACUCCGGGACUGCAUUCGAUACGGGCAGGCUAGAGUUCGGUAGGGGAGAUCGGAAUUCCUGGUGUAGCGGUGAAAUGCGCAGAUAUCAGGAGGAACACCGGUGGCGAAGGCGGCUCUCUGGGCCGAUACUGACGCUGAGGAGCGAAAGCGUGGGGAGCGAACAGG